rnacentral:rRNA from 1 species
GAUGAACGCUGGCGGCGUGCCUAAUACAUGCAAGUCGAGCGAACAGACGAGGAGCUUGCUCCUCUGUCGUUAGCGGCGGACGGGUGAGUAACGCGUGGAUACCCUACCUAUAAGACUGGGAUAACUUCGGGACACCGGCGCUAAUACCGGAUAAUAUAUUGAACCGCAUUGUUCAAUGGUGAAAGACGGUUUUGCUGUCACUUCUCGCUGGUUCCGCGCCGCUUUAGCUAGUUGGUAAGGUAACGGCUUACCACGGCAACGAUGCGUAGCCGACCUGAGAGGGGGAUCGGCCACUCUGGAGCUGAGACACGGCCCAGACACCUAGGGGAGGCAGAAGUAGGGACGCGUCGGAAAAGGGCGAAAGCCUGACGGAUCAACGGAGCGUGAGUGAAGAAGGUCUGCGGAUGGGAAAACGCUGUUAUGAGGGAAGAACAAAUGUGUAAGUAACGAUGCGCGUCUGGACGGUACCGAAUCAGAAAGCCACGGCAAACUACGG